AGUGAACGCUGGCGGUAGGCCUAACACAUGCAAGUCGAACGGCAGCACAGUAAGAGCUUGCUCUUACGGGUGUCGAGUGGCGGACGGGUGAGGAAUACACCGGAAUCUACUUUUUCGUGGGGGAUAAUGUAGGGAAACUUACGCUAAUACCGCAUACGACCUACGGGUGAAAGCAGGGGAUCUUCGGACCUUGCGCGAUUGAAUGAGCCGAUGUCGGAUUAGCUAGUUGGCGGGGUAAAGGACCACCAAGGCGACGAUCCGUAGCUGGUCUGAGAGGAUGAUCAGCCACAGUGGAGAUGAGACGCGGAGCAGACCUCUACGGGAGGCAGCAGUGGGGAAUAUUGGAGAAGGGGCGGAAGCGUGUUCCAGCCAUACCGCGUGGGUGAAGAAGGGCUUCGGGUUGUAAAGCCCUUUUGUUGGGAGAGAAAAGCGGCAGGUUAAUACCCCGCUGUUCUGAAGGUACCCAAAGAUUAAGCACCGGCUAACUUCGU
rnacentral:rRNA from 1 species